AUUGAACGCUAGCGGGAUGCCUUACACAUGCAAGUCGAACGGAGUGGCGAACGGGUGAGUAAUGUAUCGGAACGUGCCCGGUAGCGGGGGAUAACUACGCGUAAGCGUAGCUAAUACCGCAUACUAUUGGAGCGGCCGAUCUCGGAUUAGAGGGUUGGUGUGGUAACGGCGCACCAAGGCGACGAGCCGUAUCUGGUUUGAGAGGACGACUAGCCACACUGGGACUGAGACACGGCCCAGACUCCUACGGGAGGCAGCAGUGGGGAAUUGUGGACAAUGGGGGAAACCCUGAUCCAGCCAUCCCGCGUGUGCGAUGAAGGCCUUCGGGUUGUAAAGCACUUUCAGCGAGGAGGCGUUACUCGCAGAAGAAGCACCGGCUAACUCCGUGCCAGCAGCCGCGGUAAUAC
rnacentral:rRNA from 1 species